AUGGCUUAACCAUAGAACUGCUUGGGAAACUGGUAAUCUAGAGUGAGGGAGAGGCAGAUGGAAUUGGUGGUGUAGGGGUAAAAUCCGUAGAGAUCACCAGGAAUACCCAUUGCGAAGGCGAUCUGCUGGAACUCAACUGACGCUAAUGCGUGAAAGCGUGGGGAGCAAACAGGAUUAGAUACCCUGGUAGUCCACGCCCUAAACGAUGUAUACUAGUUGUUGCUAAGCUAGUCUUGGCAGUAAUGCACCUAACGGAUUAAGUAUACCGCCUGGGGAGUACGGUCGCAAGAUUAAAACUCAAAGGAAUAGACGGGGACCCGCACAAGCGGUGGAGCAUGUGGUUUAAUUCGAAGAUACGCGAAGAACCUUACCCGGACUUGAUAUCUAACAAAUCAUCUAGAGAUAGAAGAGUGUCUGCUUGCAGAAAUGUUAAGACAGGUGCUGCACGGCUGUCGUCAGCUCGUGUCGUGAGAUGUUGGGUUAAGUCCCGCAACGAGCGCAACCCACGUCAUUAGUUGCUAACAGUUC
rnacentral:rRNA from 1 species